rnacentral:rRNA from 1 species
UACGUAGGGUGCGAGCGUUGUCCGGAAUUAUUGGGCGUAAAGAGCUCGUAGGCGGUGUGUCACGUCGGCCGUGAAAAACCUGCAGCUUAACUGUGGGCGUGCGGUCGAUACGGGCAUCACUGGAGUUCGGCAGGGGAGACUGGAAUUCCUGGUGUAGCGGUGAAAUGCGCAGAUAUCAGGAGGAACACCGGUGGCGAAGGCGGGUCUCUGGGCCGAUACUGACGCUGAGGAGCGAAAGCGUGGGGGAGCAAACAGG